rnacentral:lncRNA from 1 species
CAAAUCAUAGAACUCAAAAUAAAUACCGUAAUAUCGGUUCAUAUGAUGUUUUUUAAAUCACCAUCAAUGUCGUGCCAACUAUCUAUCAAAAUAAUCACUUUACUUCUACCUUGUAACACAAUGUAACCCAUAAAAUCCUCAACAUUUCCACCAUAAGCCCUGUCAGUUACAACAUCAAUUGUAAUCGGGUAGCGAAUACCCUUUUCAUGGGAUUUUUCACCUUGUUAUAUACAUCA